rnacentral:lncRNA from 1 species
GGCUGAGCACCGUGGGUCGGCGAGGGCCCGCCAAGGAAGGAGCGACCGACCGAGCCAGGCGCCCUCCGCAGACCUCCGCGCAGCGGCCGCGGGCGCGAGGGGAGGGGUCUGGAGCUCCCUCCGGCUGCCUGUCCCGCACCGGAGCCCGUGGGGUGGGGAGGUGUGCAGCCUGUGACAGACAGGGGCUUAGAGAUGCAAACAGACUCAGGGAGAGAAACAGAAGCUGAUUCUGUGACAGAAGCAGAUCUGUGCAGCACAGAUGCGGUGUGCGUGGGGAGGGGGUCGCCUGGGAGCGCAUUGCGGAGUGCUUGUGUGUGCAGAUUUUUCUCUGGGCUCAGGACUCAUUGUAUGUGGGUCAACACCUUCCUCCGUGACUGUGUUUUUGUUCUGAGCUGAGUUUUUUGGUUUGCCCUUAAAAAAAUAAUAAUUUGGCAUCCAGAGACUGGCAGACUGCCUCAGGGCCUGGACUGCGGAUAUAUUGUGUUCUGCUUGAGGUUUGGGGAGGAGGGCAGGCGGUAGGAAGGGAGAGGGGGAGCUGUUUGUCACACUUUGCUGUAGAGCUGAGAGCACCUGACAAGCUUAAGGAAGUCGUUGGGCUAUGUGGACAAGAAGGAGCCAGCUCCCAGCGGGUUCACAAGCUCUAUCGGAGUUGAAAGCGUGGUCAUGGCUCUAAGGAGCACCUCACGCCCUCCCUGUAGCUGUUAUUGCAGUUUCAGGCAGAGAUCCAGGAGCUGCAGAGGAAGGGAGAGGCACAAUAACCUACAUGGACCCAAGGGAGACAUGUGUUCCUUUAAAAAUGUGAACAGAAGGAAAAACAGAAUGUGUGCAACUGGGGGUCUGAGGAAAGACUGUUUUGAAAGAGGCUGUCAGGGAAUGGAAAGGGUUAAGCUUUUCAUCCUGAAGAACCUGCUUCCCAAAUCAGGCCUUCCUCCCAUCACUAGACCCUGAGCAGCAGCUGGUCCUAGAGACCCCCCUCGUACUGCGCUGCCACAGUCUCAUCCCAUUUCCAGCUCUGUAUUAACCACCAAGCUGCAGCGGAUGGGGCAAGACCUAAGCUCAUUAAUUUCCAGGUGGAGGAAAUGGAGGAGGGGCAGGUCCCUGCAGUAGAGGGAGGAGCAGAGAAAGGAGGCCAAGAGCUGGAUCCUUCUGCCCAGGAAGCCUGCUGCAUCCCUUCCCCCGAGCAUGGCAGAGGCCUGGCUUUGCAAGGCCAAGGCCAUAAGGGAUGCUUAGGAGAUUAAUUUGAUUCCUGACACAAUAAUCAAGCCCUAAGAGUCUCCACUGAAGCUUACUGAGGACUUCUUUCCUCUCCAAAGCCUCAGUCUAGCCUGCUAAAUAAAUUAGUAUUCAGUGAUGCCUUGGAUCAGGGCCCCUCCCCGGCCUCAGUUUCCCCAAAUAUUUAUUAAGUACCUACUGUGUGCAAUCCUUGUGUAAUUAUUAACUCUUAGGCUCUUCAUUUGCCCUCCUAAAGCAGUGUUUAGAGUCAGGCAGAGGUUAAGUGUGUUGCACCUCACCUAGAUACUUCCAGAACCUUCUCUGGGUCUGCAGAAUGUGGCACAACCUGCUUGCCCCCGCAGAGAGAAAGCUGCAGUGCACAUCCUGCAGACUGCAGGUGCUGGGCUGCCUCUGGAGUCCCAGAAGGCAAGCUUGGCUGCAGGACAGAAAGGGAGAACAGCUUCUCUCACCCCUGAGCCUUCACAAGCCCUUGUCUAUUUGCCGUUGCCUUCAAAAUAUACCUCCCCCGAAACCAGUAGCUUUCUGAGUCCUGGUGUCCCCUCCGCCCUUUCUGGACAGGUUUGGGAAGAAGAAAGCAGUCAGUGCUGGGCCUUAUUGGGGUGUGAAGCGCCUUGCUCUGCCCCUUCUGCUCACUGUGAAGGCCGCUGGAUGCUUCUCUUAGGCAUGGUUUAAGCCUCCGAUUACUAAACCCCUUGCCCCACAAACGUCCACAUUGACGAGCCUCUUUUUAGUAACUGCUUCCCCGUAAUUCCUUCAGAGGUUGCUGUACCCUUCGCUGAUGUGCUGCCCUCCUGUAAAACCUCCAGAUGCCUUCCCACGUAAUGCCCCUUUCAGAUGCUUUAAGCUGAGAGCUUAAACCACAGGUACCAUGGCUGACGCCUGCCAGGUUUCUGCUGCAGAUAAUCUAUGAUGGGAGGGGCAUAUUUUUUACUUCAUUACUUAUGUAAACUCUUGUUCCAGAAAGCUUUAAUGUGUGUGGGAGUGUUCUGGGUCUAUUAGGUCUGUGCGCAUGGGUGUGGGCAUUUGCCUGUGUCCACCGGGUGGGUCUCAUUAUGAAAUGUAUGUUUAUGUAGGGCUUUAAUGGCUGAAAAUGGCAAAGAGAUGAAUAGACCACUUGGCCCCAUGUGUAAUUGCCAGGCCCCUUCUGUGCUCAAAUGAGGUGUCCGAGUGAAGGUCAGCCCUUCCCUUCUGUAUUUGGGGCCUAUUUAUGCCACCAGUAAUUUUAUAAGAAAUCUGAAUAGUUCUCCCCUUUGAGUGCAUUUAACUCUUUAGUAUCUUCUCUCUUACCUAUUUGAGCCCCUCUAGCUACAGUCUGGCUUAAAUGAAAGGGGAAUUAUAUGCUUAAGAAAAAGUAGGACACGGUUGAGGCAGUUUGCUGACUGAAUACGCGAAGAAGGACCUGAUGGGCUCAUAUGCACCACUGCCAUCACAGUCCCCAUCGUGAUGCAAGCUUAUAUGAUUCUUGAGGUAACUCUACCAGAUACUUCCAGAUUUAGAAAUGUGUCAAAGGAAAAAUUGGUGAUACUCUUCUUUCCCCUGCCAGAAACAGCCCAGAUCUCCUCUUAAGCGGAAAAGAGAUUGACCUUCUAGCAGAGGCAAAGAAUGGAGUCUUCUGGGGGCAGCUGCAAAGCGUUCUCCCUAGGACAGAUGGAGCCUCCCUUUCCUCAUCUACUCUGUGGGUGGUUUCAGGGCCCACGAGUCAACAUGAGGAGUUGUGCUGGUGGUAUGUGUGUUGGAGGCUGGGCUGGCUGAUUCACAGUGACGAGGAUGUCAAUAAUAACAAGAAUGAGAAUGAUGGUACCUAAUAAAGACUUUUUUUCCCAAGUCCCAUCUACAAUUCUUUCAUUGGGUGUUUUGCCAAGUCUUUCUCAAUCUCAUCUCAGCUUUUUUUUUUUUUUUAAAGAAAAUGUAUUCAAUACUUAAUUGCAUCACAAAUGUAGACAUAGAAGAAAGGACUUCAAACGGAAUUUAUGGGAGGCAAUGUGUGCGGCUUUUUGCCUUAUAGAGCUGUGUAGAAGGUCUGGAAUGAUCUUCCAGCACCAAAUUUAGAUGGCCUCAAAAAAAAAAAAAAAAAAAAAAAAAUCAGGCCUUAUUGAGGGCAAGGAAUGUUCCAGGUCAGAAAUAAAAGUGUCAGCAACUCUCAAUAGGUUCAUCUUUUUAUUUCCUGUCCUUCUCCCUUUUGUCUUAAAAUAGAAACGCUACCAAGACCUGAGGGCCUGGGUCAGGGGCCGGGAAGCCCAGAAAACAAACUUCCAGAAUCACUAAGGGCUUUCUCUCUCAAAAUUACAGUGGGAGGGUUCUUUUGAAAUUCAAAUCCAACCUAUUUGUUGCUUAAGCACACACAAAAUACUGAGACCUGGGGUCCAAGAGGCAAUACUUCCGCUGCAAGUGCAUGUUGCAACUUCGCGUGAUGUUCCCAGGGCGGUUCUGCGGCAACUUGCGGCUCCGCGACUGUGGGCGCGGGCCCCAUUUCGGGCCCCGUCGGCCGGGACCGCGCCCAGGGCUUCUCAAGUGACUCGCUUCCCAGCACGCAAGAGGCAUUCUCGUCUCUUUCUCUUCGAAUGCACCCGAGACUUCUCCAUGAAGCAAGGAGAAGAUGAGCAGGCGCUGGUUUCCCUUUUCUUUUUUGCUCCCAUUUCCCAGUCUUGAUUUUUUUUUUCCCUUUCUCUCUCUCUCCCGAAUCAUGCAGACCUGGAACUCCUAAGAUUCGGGUCCUCCUGCAGUUCCCAAAGCUUUGGAUCCAUCCGAGGUGUGGGUAGAUGCGGGUUAGUCUCAGGGUCUUUCUAGGAUGAGCCCCAAGCCCAAGUUCUAAGGCGAGGGGGAGGCGAAGAGGUCAGGGCUACAAACGCCAGGGACUGUCCCCGGAGAGGUCAUUUUUCCAUUUUCCAUGCACAUCGAUUUCACUCUAGCGCCAGAUGGACACUCGACGGUCAACGUUAGAGAUUUUUCCGGAGUCGGGGGCAGGAAGCGGGACGAAUUGAGACGAGGGUACAUCCUUUGCUUCCAAGGGUGGCCGAGCCAGACCGAAGGCCUGGGCGGGAGGUCACGUCCUCCCCUGGCCACCCACAGCGCUCCCCAGCCGCAGGCCUGGGCCUAGAAGCCGCGCCCUCCCGGCCGUGCAGCCGGUCAGCCUGUGCGCCCGGCGCCCGCAGUGCGGCUCCGGGCCUCUCUCUGAUCCACUUCAGUACCUGCGGCCUCGAGGACCCCACCGUGCAUCCCGGAAAGCCUCAGAACUUGCAAGAAAGAGGGGCUGGCAGGUGCAGCCUGGGAAGAGGACCCCGCCGCGAAAGCGCUUGGGGGUUGGGUUUUAUUUGCUGGAGUGGGGGGUCCGUCUCAGUGCAUCCUCCUGGAUUCCCCAUUAGGACGCCCCGCCCAUACAUCCAGCCUCCUCUCCCGGAUACCCCCAGUGACCCGGCCAGGGAGCGGGCAUCUUCCCCCAGGACCCAGAGACGUGUCCUCGCCAUCCCCAAACACCGUCCUUCCCCACCCCCGCAACCCUCUCCACAGAAGCCAAAACCACAACAAAAAUCUUCAACCCACAAAGAAAAAGACACAUUCCUCCUUCGGCCUUAGUCAGCGUUAGUUCCAGAUCCGAAGCCGGAGGGGACGGAGCCGCUCGAAGUCGGUUGGAAGGAAGGCGCAGAAGGCUCUUUCUGUCUCCAUGAAUCUCCUUGCAAAUGCAACCGCUGCUGCCAUUAGGACGCGGUCUCUGUUUGCAAAAAAAACUCAAUUCCUUCCAUUUCCUCAUCUGUUGGGUCCAUCAGCGUGCAGUGAGUGAUGCAAGGUCCCUUUGGGUCAACAGGCCGUCCCCUGAAAUAACUUUCAGAGCCCUGGCCUCAAGGUCAUGGGCCGGGUGGCCUCUACAGGCCACAGGUCAGGACCAGGAUGUGCCUGACUGAGGCUGUGCCACCGAGAGCUUCGGACGUGCAGAAAGGUGCCCUGAGCUGCACGGGGGGCUUCUGUCAGCCCCCUCCCACUCUACACAGAUUGAUGUGGCAAUAUUUAUUCCCAUUUAAUUGAGACACUGGUUUAAUUUCAGAUUGCUUCGGCUUAAGGCCCAAUGGGGUUUUCUGCAGCUCUUUUCCCCAGUGCCUCUACAGAAAUUAAUUGCUGUUAAUAUCCAAUUUUGGCUUUAUUAUUCGUUAGCCAAUUAUGUAUCCCAUAGCCCAGGCCCCUUGCUGCUCUCAGCCUUUGCUGGAAUCAGCUCACACUAUGCCGGGCUUCUGCUUUUCUGCCUUCCCCUCUAUUCAAACUCUGUCCUCCCAAGAUGAUUUACCGGCCCGUCAGGCAUUUUGCUUGUGUCCCAGCGCUAGCUGAGCUGGCGGAGGUGUCUUUAAGACGUUUUCCCCCUUUUGAGGGAAAUGUCUUCUUUGCAGUGGACAUAAUUUCCAUUUAAAAAGGAAUCUAAGCUUCUCCACUCUCGCUUCACUAUCCUAAGAUUUGCUUUCUCUGGAGCCAUUUUUGGAGAGCAGUUUUCCAUCAAAAGCAAGCAAGGUGCCCCGGCAUCAGGGCUCCCCUCCCCACCUCCCUAGGAGCCCCUCCGAGACUGUCUUAAAGCCACCACAUAUACAUAACACCAUAGAUUCAAACAGGGUGCUUGGAGGAUGUCAUUCCACAUUUCAAGGAGGGAAACUUGAAAAAGCACUAUUUUCAGAGAUGAGGAGGGCAGCUCUCCCCUCGUCCCCCACAGAGGCCCUGGAAACCAUUCCAGCCUUGCACUGCGCAACCCUGCUUGAUGGAGCUGAUGCAACUGGGGGCGAGAGCCUUUAAAAAGUGUUCUUUUGCCUUGGUUUUUUGUGCCUUGAGUUCACAGAAGCAAACACUUCCCAUCACUGGUGCUCUGGAAACAGAAACAUACAAGUGAGAAUCCUAACGACAGCAGAGGCCCUUCUUUGUCUGCUUCCUCUCCUUCCCCCCUUGGAAAGAAUGCCUCCCAUGCCUUAAUGUGCCCUCACACUUAUCUCUAGCAGUUCCGUAACAACCUGCGCAGUGUCGGCAUCAGAACCGAAUGCAGAGAAAACAAAACGUCAGAGCCGCUGGCUUGGACUGCGGCCCCUACAGAUGAAGCCCGAGGUGGGAGGUUUUCUUCUCCGCCUGGAAAUCCUAUGCCUUCUACUCCUACCUCAGCAUCUUGCCGCCUUCAUGUGGACAAUUAAUCAACAGCAACAGCAUAGUGUGAAGAGAUAGAGUCUUGAUAUGUUCCCCAGGCUGCUCUGGAAUUCUUGGACUCAAGCAAUCCUCCUGACUUGGCCUCCCAAAGUGCUGGGAUUACAGGCUCCUAUUCCAAAUCGGAUGAAGCACUGAAAACAAAGCACUUUCACAUCCUUCACCCUGAUCUGUAGCAUAUUCUUCAGAACUCUUAUGAUUUCAAGUGACAGAAACCCAAUCUGAACCAGCUGAAACACUCAGAGGCAUUUAGUAUCUCAUGGAACCCAGUGCCCCAGGGACAGGCGGAAACGCUGACUUGAACAUCUCUUUCUGAGUUUCUCAUCUCAGCGCCUCUCUGCAGAUGUUGAAAUCUUCUUUUUUUCUGCUAACUGGCCUCUGCUUCCCAGGUUCACAGCAAGAAACAUGGCCAUUGGGAUGUCCCAAGCUUUGCAUUUUAUAGCCCAGCUUAGGUCAGGUGGCCACCCCUGUGCCAGUCAACUUGACCGAAUGGAUGGAAAACCUCAACUGAUCAAGCUGGAGUUAAGUGCAUGCAGGGAGCACCUAUGGUAACUGCGGAUGGCAGGGAGGGCAGCCACCUAGAAAAAGGUACUGCUGGCCAGGUAAGACCACAGGUAUCCACAACUACCACCAAUCUGCUGUGAACAGUUCCUCUGAAGUUGUGCAAUAAGCAAGCCGUGUGAUGCUGGUCUUGGUAGAAUAUCUUAUUUCUAAACUCCAAACCAUCAGAUUGGCCUCUACCUCCCCAUUUGCCCUCCUCAGAAGAUCUUGACACCCAAGUUCACCCCAUCCUCUGGAGUCCUGUGGUUUGAAAUACUGACCAUUUGUCCCAAUCCUGGAGCCAAGGUCCCAGCAUGCUCUGUGUCCAAGUUCAGAUUACCACAAAAGCUGGUUGUGAAGACCACAAGUUGUUACCUAUUUGUUUUUUAACCAGUUGUAUAUACAACAUUUGGUGCUUUUCACAACACCACACUACCUCUGUCUUACUGUACUGUUUCUCUCCCUAGCAAGCUACCAACAUUUCCUCUCUCCUCCCUAAAACAUGAAAAAAGGAGAGAGAGAGAGAGAGAGAGACGCAGGUAAUGCCUAUACUCUCAUCUCCUAAGGGGUCCUUGAGACAAUGGAUUCCAAAGAGCAGUUUGGAACAUGAAGAAAACCCCAAUGGGGAGGCCCUGCUCCCAAGUCUCACUAAUUCUGGAUUUAAUUCUCCCCUGUGGGCCAGGUGGUGAAUUAGUGGCCCUCCCACCCUACCUUCUGUUUUCUAUGAUCUCGUCUCAUCUAAUAAAGGCUCCAGAUCUGAAAGUCUCUGAGACCAGAACCUUAGUCCAAUUAAACCCUGCUAAAGCAAACAAACUUGGGAAAGACAAAGAGGUGAAGAGGUUAACAGCAGACAAAACCUCCACUGACAAGCUAAAUUAGCCUUGCCCACCUCAGGAGAAGGUGUAAGGUGGACAGCGGAGACUGCUGGUAGUGAUUAACAUUUGCUCGAAAUUCUAAGGAGCUAAUUUUUUUUCCAAGUUAAAUGUUAACCUGUGAAAAGAGGAACAGUAACUAUGCGAAGAGGAAUGUGAAGAAGAAAACAGAAAGACCAGCCUGCUGGGUGGAUGUCUUCCUCCCAAAGUAGUCGAGACCAGGGAUUCUGAGGAAUAGUUUUCCAUUUAUCCUUCAUCAUCUCCAUUCAACAGGGCCGCUGAGCUCCAGAUGAGCAUGGAAAGAUGGAGGAGCUGCCAAACCUGACUUUGGAGGCCCUGGUCAGGAGCCCGUUGGAGGCCUUCCAGUUUUACACCCUUUGUGAAUUUGUCCGUGGGGUGGGUUUGUUCUGAUGCCAUGAGUAGCUUCCACUGGAAAAGGCACCAUCUCCACCCAACAUUUUAGGUAUGCUGGUGCAUUGGGAGGACAUUCUUGGUGCCAAUAAUCGUCUGAAGAUUCUUUGCUAUCCUUUGGUAGAGGCUCUAUUUACCACAAUGAAGAGUAGAAAGAUUAUGAUGUGAGUGUGUUUUGGUGUGUGUGUGUGUGUGUGUGUAUGUGUGUGACUAUUAGUGAAAACUGCUAGUAGUAUGUCAGUGUGGAGAGAAAUUCAGUCCUCCCGCAAGUGGUGAGGCUCAAUAUUAAGGGACAGAACAUCAGUGAGCACCACAUUAAGGCACUAUUCUCGACAUCUGGGAAGAAGCAAAGAAAAAUGUGUCAUGCCUCUUACCUUUUAGGGACUUAUAAUACAGGAAAGAGAAGACUUGUAUAAAUGGCUAAAAAUAUACUGAGGAGUAUAACUAAUAACUAAUGCAGAGUGUGCUGGUAAAAGGUUGUGUGGGUUCAGGAAUGUCAAAAGUUGCAGCUGCUGUGAAAGCCAAUAUGGCGGGUCCUCAAAAAAUUAAAUGUAGAAUUACCAUAUGACUCGGCAACUCCACUUCCGGGUAUGUUCUUAAAACGAUUGAAAGCAGAGACUCAGACAGAUAAUUGCACACCCAUGUUCACAGCAGCAUUAUUCACAAUCGCCAAAAUGUGGAAGCAACCCAAGUGUCCACUGGCCAAUGAAUGAAUGAGUAAAACAUGCUAUGUAUCAACAGUAGAAUAUUAUUCAACCUUAAAAGGAAACAAAUUCUGGUACGUGUUACAACAUAGAUGAACCUUGAGUGGAAGAAGAAAACAGAAAGAGCAGUCCGCUGGGUGGAUGUCUUCUUCCCAAAGUAGUUGGGAUCAGGAAUGCUGAGAAACAAUUCCCCAUUCAUCCUUCAACAUCUCCAUUCAACAGGGCCACUGAGCUCCAGGAUGAGCAUGGAAGGAUGGAGGAGCUGCCAAGCUUGACCUUGGGGACCCAGGUCAGGAGCCUUCUGGAGACCUUCCAGUUUUAUGCCCUUCGUGAAUUUGUUUGUGGGAUGAACUCUAUGAAGUGAACUAAACCAAUCACACACAAAAAAUAAAACUGUAUGAUUCCACUUAUAUGAGGCACCUAGUCAAAUUCAGAGACAGAAAUAAAAAUGGGGGUUGAUAGGAGAGGGGAGGAUGGAAGAGUGGGAAGUUACUGUCAAUGGGAACAGAGUUUCAGUUUUGCAAAAGAGUUCUGGAAAUGAAUGGGGUAAUGACU